UUAAGCGACUAAGCGUACACGGUGGAUGCCCUGGCAGUCAGAGGCGAUGAAGGACGUGCUAAUCUGCGAAAAGCGUCGGUAAGGUGAUAUGAACCGUUACAGCCGGCGAUGUCCGAAUGGGGAAACCCAGUGCAAUUCGUUGCACUAUCGUUAACUGAAUACAUAGGUUAACGAGGCGAACCGGGGGAACUGAAACAUCUAAGUACCCCGAGGAAAAAAAAUCAACCGAGAUUCCCCCAGUAGCGGCGAGCGAACGGGGAGCAGCCCAGAGUCUGAAUCAGCUUGUGUGUUAGUGGAACGGUCUGGAAAGUCCGACGGUACAGGGUGAUAGUCCCGUACACCAAAAUGCACAGGCUGUGAACUCGAAGAGUAGGGCGGGACACGUGGUAUCCUGUCUGAAUAUGGGGGACCAUCCUCCAAGGCUAAAUACUCCUGACUGACCGAUAGUGAACCAGUACCGUGAGGGAAAGGCGAAAAGAACCCCGGCGAGGGGAGUGAAAAAGAACCUGAAACCGUGUACGUACAAGCAGUGGGAGCACCUUCGGGUGUGACUGCGUACCUUUUGUAUAAUGGGUCAGCGACUUAUAUUCUGUAGCAAGGUUAACCGUAUAGGGGAGCCGCAGGGAAACCGAGUCUUAACUGGGCGUUAAGUUGCAGGGUAUAGACCCGAAACCCGGUGAUCUAGCCAUGGGCAGGUUGAAGGUUGGGUAACACUAACUGGAGGACCGAACCGACUAAUGUUGAAAAAUUAGCGGAUGACUUGUGGCUGGGGGUGAAAGGCCAAUCAAACCGGGAGAUAGCUGGUUCUCCCCGAAAGCUAUUUAGGUAGCGCCUCGUGAAUUCAUCUUCGGGGGUAGAGCACUGUUUCGGCUAGGGGGUCAUCCCGACUUACCAACCCGAUGCAAACUACGAAUACCGAAGAAUGUUAUCACGGGAGACACACGGCGGGUGCUAACGUCCGUCGUGAAGAGGGAAACAACCCAGACCGCCAGCUAAGGUCCCAAAGUCAUGGUUAAGUGGGAAACGAUGUGGGAAGGCACAGACAGCCAGGAUGUUGGCUUAGAAGCAGCCAUCAUUUAAAGAAAGCGUAAUAGCUCACUGGUCGAGUCGGCCUGCGCGGAAGAUGUAACGGGGCUAAACCAUGCACCGAAGCUGCGGCAGCGACACUAUGUGUUGUUGGGUAGGGGAGCGUUCUGUAAGCCUGCGAAGGUGACCUGUGAGGGUUGCUGGAGGUAUCAGAAGUGCGAAUGCUGACAUAAGUAACGAUAAAGCGGGUGAAAAGCCCGCUCGCCGGAAGACCAAGGGUUCCUGUCCAACGUUAAUCGGGGCAGGGUGAGUCGACCCCUAAGGCGAGGCCGAAAGGCGUAGUCGAUGGGAAACAGGUUAAUAUUCCUGUACUUGGUGUUACUGCGAAGGGGGACGGAGAAGGCUAUGUUAGCCGGGCGACGGUUGUCCCGGUUUAAGCAUGUAGGCUGGUUAUCCAGGCAAAUCCGGAUAAUCAAGGCUGAGGUGUGAUGACGAGGCACUACGGUGCUGAAGUAACAAAUGCCCUGCUUCCAGGAAAAGCCUCUAAGCAUCAGGUAACAUCAAAUCGUACCCCAAACCGACACAGGUGGUCAGGUAGAGAAUACCAAGGCGCUUGAGAGAACUCGGGUGAAGGAACUAGGCAAAAUGGUGCCGUAACUUCGGGAGAAGGCACGCUGGUGUGUAGGUGAAGUCCCUGCGGAUGGAGCUGAGACCAGUCGAAGAUACCAGCUGGCUGCAACUGUUUAUUAAAAACACAGCACUGUGCAAACACGAAAGUGGACGUAUACGGUGUGACGCCUGCCCGGUGCCGGAAGGUUAAUUGAUGGGGUUAUCCGUAAGGAGAAGCUCUUGAUCGAAGCCCCGGUAAACGGCGGCCGUAACUAUAACGGUCCUAAGGUAGCGAAAUUCCUUGUCGGGUAAGUUCCGACCUGCACGAAUGGCGUAAUGAUGGCCAGGCUGUCUCCACCCGAGACUCAGUGAAAUUGAACUCGCUGUGAAGAUGCAGUGUACCCGCGGCAAGACGGAAAGACCCCGUGAACCUUUACUAUACUUGACACUGAACAUUGAGCCUUGAUGUGUAGGAUAGGUGGGAGGCUUUGAAGCGUGGACGCCAGUCUGCGUGGAGCCAACCUUGAAAUACCACCCUUUAAUGUUUGAUGUUCUAACGUUGCCCCUGACCGGGGUUGCGGACAGUGUCUGGUGGGUAGUUUGACUGGGGCG
rnacentral:rRNA from 1 species